AGUUCUGGGGAAUGCUGUGGGCAACGCAGUGUGCCCCUCUCUGUGCUGUGGUUUUCCUGAAGGCUUGUCUGGACUCUCUCUCUAGCUACUGGGAGUCUGAGCCCUGCUGAGGGCUCUCCUUUCUAGGGGAUCAACUGUGCUUCAAAAGGCAGGCUCUGUGAAGGCCAGCACUCGGCUUAGGAGUUGUGUGCCCCUUAUUUCCAUUCCUGGGUGAAGAUUAGUGUUUCUGACACGGCAGAGGGUACUACUUUAGACUGAGGAAGCGAGAUGAAGAGCCAAUUGUUUUCUGCAUCGAGUUUAAAGAUGUAAAUAAAUCUUGCUGCUGAUUGAAAAAGAGAACAACUAUUAAGACUGUCUUCAAAAGGAGUCAGAUUCACUGCCCAGUCUAAAGCAGCCACAUGCUGACAAGCCCUGUCUGCUGAGGCAGCUCUUCAGAUGUCUGGGGAAUGGAGACCGAUGGUCCCAGCAGGGGAGAGACUGUGUUGACUUCAGAUGUCUCCAGAAACAGGGAUGUCAUGGCUUGGAUUGUAGUCUUCCCCAUGGAGGAACACACCACACACUGACAUCCAGUAUUACUGCGUCAGCCUCACACUGCUCCACCCUUCUGUGCUUGACGCUUGUAACAUCCUCCGCACCCAGGGCCGUGCUGUUCUCUCUUCCACGUUGGUCAUUCUGUUGGGACUUGGGGAAAAAAACAGUUGAA
rnacentral:lncRNA from 1 species